rnacentral:lncRNA from 1 species
GGGAUGAGCUUAUAUCUCGUAGCCUGGUUCCCUCUGUCACUUGGUCUCUUGGUCUUUCUCUCUCUCUCUCUCUCUCUCUCUCUCUCUCAGAACUAAAUUAAUGAAGAGUAUUUGGUUAGUCAUGUUAGGCAAGCUGUUCCCAAAAUAGCGCCUUCCAUUUUGGUAGCUUCAACUUUGCAGCUGCUGUGUCUCUUCGUCGUCUGGGAAGAAAACUUUCACAUUAAGAGUUGCUGAUGCGGAUUUUCUUUCUUUCCUCUCCCGGCGGCGUUGAUGAGUGCUUGGCUCCUGACAGACGCGAUUCGGCUCCCAGCUUUGUAGUUCGGAAGAAGUUGGGUCUAUAGAUUUCCCCCUAACUCUCCAUCGAUGUGUUGAGCUUCAGAGGGAAUAACUCUACGUAAAGCAUGUUGGCGUCUCAAGGAGUUCUCCUGCAUCCCUAUGGCGUGCCUAUGAUUGUACCGGCAGCUCCUUACCUCCCUGGACUGAUUCAGGCUGUCAGGAGGCCUUGUUCCCCUUGGAAGCCUGGCUCCGCGUGGAGAAGAUCAAGCCCAGGGGUUGUAUGGUGACAAAGCCCGAGGAAGGGCACUGCUGGGACUGGGUCUUGUGGCUGUAUUUG